rnacentral:rRNA from 1 species
UCGGAUGCUAGGUGGCUGGCGAUUGCGAAGGUGAACACUACUCGCACUUUCAGUUCAUCGGCGAUGUUCGAGUGCAUGAAAUCGAUCUGGUCGCUGGCACACGUCCCGACGUACAGAGAGGCGGGAGAAAAUCUGUUCAUCUUUCAGAUGUUUUGUCUUAGGGACUGGAAGAAGGUAGUGCAUGGAGGCCCAUGGCUUUUCAGGGGGAUGGGGAUGCUGAUAGAAGACUACGAUGGGAAGAAGGAGCCAACAUCUUUUGAAUUUGAUGGUUUAUACGUGUGGGCUCAAAUCCAUAAUAUACCAGAGCUCUACCGCAAAGCGGGGGUUGUUGAUGAACUCGCCCGUCGUAUUGGUAGGGUAAAAGAAGUGCAGCUCGCGCCUCGCUUGUUUUAUGAGGGAGAU